rnacentral:lncRNA from 1 species
UCAAGCGUUGCAGCAGUGAAACGUUGGAGUGUUCUAAAACACAAGUGCUCCUCUCCAAAGGACUGCUCAAUAACUUCCCCUUGUACUGUUACACGGAGUGAACCGUGAACUGUCUCGGGUGGUUGGGACAAAAUAGCAAGAUGAGUGGGUCCACCUCCUCUUCCAACAGUGCCACCACGACCAUGAAACAUAGUUAGUUUUACACCAUAUUGUUUUGCAACCUUUAUAAGCUCCUCUUGAGCCUUGUACAACUGCCAUGCUGCAGAGAACCGCCCAGCAUCUUUGCCAGAAUCAGAGUAGCCAAUCAUGACUUCUUGCUUUCCAUUAAUCCGAUUUCUGUACCAAUCUAUCGAGAAGAGGCGAGCAAGGGCUGCGGGUGCAGCCUCCAAAUCUGCAAGCUUUUCAAACAAGGGAACAACUCUUAAUGGUUGACUAACGUGGCACUCACGCUGCAAGAGCUCAACGGCCAAAACAUCAGAUGGAGCAGUGGCCAUGGAAAUGAUAUAUGCACCAAAGUUAUCAGAAGGAAGUUCAGCUAUGACAUGGAAUGUGUUCAAAACAUCAGAUAUUUCUUCUGUUGUAGGAAGAUCAGGACCAAAAAGAGGACGUUUGCCACUGAGUUCAGAUAAAAGCCAUUCUUGUCGCUGUUCCUCAGACCAUUCUUUGUAGGAACCAAUAUCCAAAUGCUGGGUAAUGGCAUCCAAGACGUCGGUGUGACGAUCAGAUUCUUGCCUGAUGUC